rnacentral:lncRNA from 1 species
CUCGUGGUAGCGUGUUUUAAAAGAAAAGAGUUUCCGUGCGGGAAACGGUUUUAAAAAGACUUUUAUUAGUUUUCAUGAUUCUUAGUGAUUUAAAAUGAGUUUCUGGGUAGGAAAUAUUUUAAACUGAUAGAUGUGAAUUUAUGGAUAAUUAUGAUAAUAUGAAUGUGAAUGUGAAUGGUGUAUGAAUUUGUGGAUGUUUGUAUGUGUGGUUGUAUCCUGUAUUGCGAUUGUUUUACUUGUGCGACGCCGUGCAAAUGCAAGGAAGACUCUAUCCGUGUGAACAAUGGACUCUCUGUAUUUGUGGCAAAUCUGGCAUACCUUGGGGUCAGGUU